rnacentral:rRNA from 1 species
UAGAGUUUGAUCCUGGCUCAGGAUGAACGCUGGCGGCGUGCCUAAUACAUGCAAGUCGAGCGAACAGAUAAGGAGCUUGCUCCUUUGACGUUAGCGGCGGACGGGUGAGUAACACGUGGAUAACCUACCUAUAAGACUGGGAUAACUUCGGGAAACCGGAGCUAAUACCGGAUAAGAUUUUGAACCGCAUGGUUCAAUAGUGAAAGACGGCCUUGCUGUCACUUAUAGAUGGAUCCGCGCCGUAUUAGCUAGUUGGUAAGGUAACGGCUUACCAAGGCAACGAUACAAAANCCGACCUGAGAGGGUGAUCGGCCACACUGGAACUGAGACACGGUCCAGACUCCUACGGGAGGCAGCAGUAGGGAAUCUUCCGCAAUGGGCGAAAGCCUGACGGAGCAACGCCGCGUGAGUGAUGAAGGUCUUCGGAUCGUAAAACUCUGUAUCAGGGAAGAACAA